CCAGACUCCUACGGGAGGCAGCAGUGGGGGAUAUUGCACAAUGGGGGGAACCCUGAUGCAGCGACGCCGCGUGGGUGAAGGAGUAUUUCGGUAUGUAAAGCCCUAUCGGCAGGGAAGAAGCAAGACGGUACCUGACUAAGAAGCCCCGGCUAACUACGUGCCAGCAGCCGCGGUAAUACGUAGGGGGCGAGCGUUAUCCGGAUUUACUGGGUGUAAAGGGAGCGUAGACGGCAGUGCAAGUCUGGAGUGAAAGGCGGGGACUCAACCCCCGGACUGCUCUGGAAACUGUACGGCUGGAGUGCAGGAGAGGUAAGUGGAAUUCCUAGUGUAGCGGUGAAAUGCGUAGAUAUUAGGAGGAACACCAGUGGCGAAGGCGGCUUACUGGACUGUAACUGACGUUGAGGCUCGAAAGCGUGGGGAGCAAACAGGAUUAGAUACCCGCGAC
rnacentral:rRNA from 1 species